GACGAACGCUGGCGGCGUGCUUAACACAUGCAAGUCGAGCGGUAAGGCCCUUUCGGGGGGUACACGAGCGGCGAACGGGUGAGUAACACGUGGGUGACCUGCCCUCAGCUCUGGGAUAAGCCUGGGAAACCGGGUCUAAUACCGGAUAUGACUCCAUGACGCAUGUUGUGGGGUGGAAAGCCUUGUGCGGCUGAGGAUGGGCCCGCGGCCUAUCAGCUUGUUGGUGGGGUGAUGGCCUACCAAGGCGACGACGGGUAGCCGGCCUGAGAGGGCGACCGGCCACACUGGGACUGAGACACGGCCCAGACUCCUACGGGAGGCAGCAGUGGGGAAUCUUGCGCAAUGGGCGAAAGCCUGACGCAGUGACGCCGCGUGAGGGAUGACGGCCU
rnacentral:rRNA from 1 species